CAUAAAUAAAAGUUGAAUUCUGUGGGGAGAAAACAAACCAAAAAACCCAUCACAGCUAACAACUGAAUUGCUCUGUGGACAUCAUACAUUUCUAAGCAAGCAUUGAAUACAGGAGAUGUGUUCAUCAUAACCAGAGACAGAGUAUGUAUAGCUUGGCUCCAUACAGCUCAAAUGGUCAUCCACCAUCACUUAGACUCCCAUACUUCUCUUCCUCCUAGAGUCACCAGCUAUCCACUGACACCAAUUUUUCCUCCUAACAUAGAACACACCUGCUGCAUGUAACUCUGGGAGCUCAUUACCCCCAGUGACAUAUUUACCCUAGGUUUUCUUGUCAACCCAGGUAUGCCUGUGUGUGUGUGUGUGUGGGUGCUCCCCUUCUCCCUCAAUUUGUAAUGUAAAAAUCUCCAUGUCAUUACAAUAUUCUGUUAACAAAAAGUGACUGGGCAAACAAUAAAAUAAAAAAAUGUAAUCUUUAUUAGUUUUGCACAUUUUAAAUGUUGGUUAGCAUUAUUUAGUGUAAUAGUAGCAUUUUCCAGCAUGCAGUUCACGAAUACAGUUUAUCUAAGUAGUUUUAAGAAAAAGAGGAGCCUAUGGUUUGCUUCUGCAAGAAACACAAAAUGUUCUGAUGUAAUUGACUAUAUAAGUUGACUACUCUCUGUUCUCAUGGAAAAAAAAAAACAAAACUGUGAAGCCCACAUUAUAUUUAGAACAAUCUAGAGCAGCAUUACUCCGAAGAAAUGAAAA